rnacentral:rRNA from 1 species
AGUGAACGCUGACGGUAGGCCUAACACAUGCAAGUCGAACGGCAGCACAGUAAGAGCUUGCUCUUACGGGUGGCGAGUGGCGGACGGGUGAGGAAUACAUCGGAAUCUACUUUUUCGUGGGGGAUAACGUAGGGAAACUUACGCUAAUACCGCAUACGACCUACGGGUGAAAGCAGGGGAUCUUCGGACCUUGCGCGAUUGAAUGAGCCGAUGUCGGAUUAGCUAGUUGGCGGGGUAAAGGCCCACCAAGGCGACGAUCCGUAGCUGGUCUGAGAGGAUGAUCAGCCACACUGGAACUGAGACACGGUCCAGACUCCUACGGGAGGCAGCAGUGGGGAAUAUUGGACAAUGGGCGUAAGCCUGAUCCAGCCAUACCGCGUGGGUGAAGAAGGCCUUCGGGUUGUAAAGCCCUUUUGUUGGGAAAGAAAAGCAGCAGGUUAAUACCCCGCUGUUCUGACGGUACCCAAAGAAUAAGCACCGGCUAACUUCGUG